rnacentral:rRNA from 1 species
AGAGUUUGAUCCUGGCUCAGGAUGAACGCUGGCGGCGUGCCUAAUACAUGCAAGUCGAACGCUGGAGAUCUAGCUUGCUAGAUCGAAGGAGUGGCGAACGGGUGAGUAAUACAUAAGCAACCUACCCACGAAGACUGGGAUAAUCUCUGGAAACGGGGACUAAUACCGGAUAGGUAAUCGGAAGGCAUCUUCUGGUUAUUAAAGGUUAAAAACACUGGUGGAUGGGCUUAUGGCGCAUUAGUUAGUUGGUGAGGUAACGGCCCACCAAGACGAUGAUGCGUAGCCGGCCUGAGAGGGUGAACGGCCACAUUGGGACUGAGACACGGCCCAGACUCCUACGGGAGGCAGCAGUAGGGAAUUUUCGGCAAUGGGGGAAACCCUGACCGAGCAACGCCGCGUGAGUGAUGACGGCCUUCGGGUUGUAAAGCUCUGUUGUAAGGGAAGAACGGUAGAUAGAGAAUAUCUAAGUGACGGUACCUUACCAGAAAGCCACGGCUAACUACGUGCCAGCAGCCGCGGUAAUACGUAGGUGGCGAGCGUUAUCCGGAAUUAUUGGGCGUAAAGGGUGCGUAGGCGGCCUGUUAAGUAAGUGGUUAAAUUGUUGGGCUCAACCCAAUCCAGCCACUUAAACUGGCAGGCUAGAGUAUUGGAGAGGCAAGUGGAAUUCCAUGUGUAGCGGUAAAAUGCGUAGAUAUAUGGAGGAACACCAGUGGCGAAGGCGGCUUGCUAGCCAAAGACUGACGCUCAUGCACGAAAGCGUGGGGAGCAAAUAGGAUUAGAUACCCUAGUAGUCCACGCCGUAAACGAUGAAUACUAAGUAUUGGGGAAACUCAGUGCUGCAGCUAACGCAAUAAGUAUUCCGCCUGUGGAGUAUGCACGCAAGUGUGAAACAUAAAGGAAUUGACGGGGGCCCGCACAAGCGGUGGAGUAUGUGGUUUAAUUCGACGCAACGCGAAGAACCUUACCAGGCCUUGACAUCCCUUGCAAAGCUGUAGAGAUACAGUAGAGGUUAUCAAGGAGACAGGUGGUGCAUGGUUGUCGUCAGCUCGUGUCGUGAGAUGUUGGGUUAAGUCCCGCAACGAGCGCAACCC